CAGCCGCCGCGGUAAAACCAGCACCUCAAGUGGUCAGGAUGAUUAUUGGGCCUAAAGCAUCCGUAGCCGGCUCUGUAAGUUUUCGGUUAAAUCUGUACGCUCAACGUACAGGCUGCCGGGAAUACUGCAGAGCUAGGGAGUGGGAGAGGUAGACGGUACUCGGUAGGAAGGGGUAAAAUCCUUUGAUCUAUUGAUGACCACCUGUGGCGAAGGCGGUCUACCAGAACACGUCCGACGGUGAGGGAUGAAAGCUGGGGGAGCAACCCGGAUUAGAUACCCGGGUAGUCCCAGCUGUAAACUAUGCAAACUCAGUGAUGCAUUGGCUUGUGGCCAAUGCAGUGCUGCAGGGAAGCCGUUAAGUUUGCCGCCUGGGAAGUACGUACGCAAGUAUGAAACUUAAAGGAAUUGGCGGGGGAGCAC
rnacentral:rRNA from 2 species